rnacentral:rRNA from 1 species
AUUGAACGCUGGCGGCAUGCCUUACACAUGCAAGUCGAACGGCAGCACGGGAGCAAUCCUGGUGGCGAGUGGCGAACGGGUGAGUAAUGUAUCGGAACGUGCCCAGUAGGUGGGGGAUAGCCCGGCGAAAGCCGGAUUAAUACCGCAUACGACCUACGGGUGAAAGCGGGGGAUCGCAAGACCUCGCGCUAUUGGAGCGGCCGAUAUCAGAUUAGCUUGUUGGUGGGGUAACGGCCUACCAAGGCAACGAUCUGUAGCUGGUCUGAGAGGACGGCCAGCCACACUGGGACUGAGACACGGCCCAG